GAUACACCUCUACAUGGUUUACUGAAGGCUGAAGGUUAGAUACACCUCUACAUGGUUUACUGAAGGCUGAAGGUUAGAUACACCUCUACAUGGUUUACUGAAGGCUGAAGUAACCUUAUCUUCAGGGAGUUAAGACAUGUUUAACAGUGUUUUAUUCUGAAAACCUAAAUAAUCUCAGCUUUCUCACAGAAAAAAAACCAAGACAAUAACUUUAAGCUAAUUAUAAGAACUCACCUGGGUCUCUUUGUUAGAUCAGGCUUAGACCUCACCUGGGUCUCCUUGUUAGAUCAGGCUCAGACCUCACCUGUGUCUCCUUGUUAGAUCAGGCUUAGACCUCACCUGGGCGUCCUUGUUAGAUCAGGCUUAGACCUCACCUGUGUCUCCUUGAUAGAUCAGGCUUAGACCUCACCUGGGCGUCCUUGUUAGAUCAGGCUUAGAACUCACCUGGGCGUCCUUGUUAGAUCAGGCUUAGACCUCACCUGUGUCUCCUUGAUAGAUCAGGCUCAGACCUCACCUGGGCCUCAUUGAUAGAUCAGGCUCAGAACUUGCCUGGGCGUCCUUGUUAGAUCAGGCUCAGAACUCACCUGGGCGUCCUUGCUAGAUCAGGCUCAGAAUUCACCUGGGCGUCCUUGUUAGAUAAGGCUCAGAACUCACCUGGGCGUCCUUGUUAGAUCAGGCUUGGAAAUCACCUGGGUCUCAUGAAUAAAACCAAGCUCAGAUUCACCUAGGCCUCCUUCAUUAAAUCAGGCUAAGAACUCACCUGGGUCUCAUUGAUAGAUCAGACUUAGACCUCACCUGGGUCUCUUUGUUAGAUCAGGCUUAGACCUCACCUGUGUCUCCUUGAUAGAUCAGGCUCAGACCUCACCUGGGUCUCAUUGAUAGAUCAGGCUCAGACCUCACCUGGGUCUCAUUGAUAGAUCAGGCUCAGAACUCACCUGGGCGUCCUUGCUAGAUCAGGCUCAGACCUCACCUGGGUCUCCUUGUUAGAUCAGGCUCAGACCUCACCUGGGUCUCCUUGUUAGAUCAGGCUUAGAACUCGCCUGGGUCUCCUUGUUAGAUCAGGCUCAGACCUCACCUGGGUCUCCUUGUUAGAUCAGGCUCAGAACUCACCUGGGUGCCCUUGUUAGAUCAGGCUUAGACCUCACCUGGGCUUCCUUGUUAGAUCAGGCUUGGAACUCACCUGGGUCUCGUGAAUAAAACCAAGCUCAGAUUCACCUAGGCCUCCUUCAUUAAAUCAGGCUAAGAACUCACCUGGGUCUCCUUGAUAGAUUAAACUCGGAACUUAUUUGGGCCUUUUUGUUACCUCAAGCUCAGGACUCAUCUAGAUCUCUUUAAUCAUGAGACUCAAGUAUUGAAAUAGCAUUUAAUUUGUGAGAAUUCUUGGUGUGAAUGGAUUAUUGCCUUAAU